AUUGAACGCUGGCGGCAGGCUUAACACAUGCAAGUCGAGCGGGGUGAUGGUGCUUGCACUAUCACUUAGCGGCGGACGGGUGAGUAAUGCUUAGGAAUCUGCCUAUUAGUGGGGGACAACAUCUCGAAAGGGAUGCUAAUACCGCAUACGUCCUACGGGAGAAAGCAGGGGAUCACUUGUGACCUUGCGCUAAUAGAUGAGCCUAAGUCGGAUUAGCUAGUUGGUGGGGUAAAGGCCUACCAAGGCGACGAUCUGUAGCGGGUCUGAGAGGAUGAUCCGCCACGCUGGGACUGAGACACGGCCCAGACUCCUACGGGAGGCAGCAGUGGGGAAUAUUGGACAAUGGGGGGAACCCUGAUUCAGCCAUGCCGCGUGUGUGAAGAAGGCCUUAUGGUUGUAAAGCACUUUAAGCGAGGAGGAGGCUCUUUUGGUUAAUACCCAAGAUGAGUGGACGUUACUCGCAGAAUAAGCACCGGCUAACUCUGUGCCAGCCGCCGCCGUAA
rnacentral:rRNA from 1 species